UACAGAGGUCUCAAGCGUUGUUCGGAUUCAUUGGGCGUAAAGGGUGCGUAGGCGGCGCGGUAAGUCGGGUGUGAAAUCUCGGGGCUUAACUCCGAAACUGCAUUCGAUACUGCCGUGCUUGAGGACUGGAGAGGAGACUGGAAUUUACGGUGUAGCGGUGAAAUGCGUAGAUAUCGUAAGGAAGACCAGUGGCGAAGGCGGGUCUCUGGACAGUUCCUGACGCUGAGGCACGCAGGUCAGGGGAGCAAACGGG
rnacentral:rRNA from 1 species